UACGAAGGGGCUAGCGUUGCUCGGAAUCACUGGGCGUAAAGCGCACGUAGGCGGAUUGCUAAGUCAGGGUGAAUCCUGGAGCUCAACUCCAGAACUGCCUUUGAUACUGGCGAUCUCGAGUUCGGGAGAGGUGAGUGGAACUGCCGAGUGUAGAGGUGAAAUUCGUAGAUAUUCGCAAGAACACCAGUGGCGAAGGCGGCUCACUGGCCCGAUACUGACGCUGAGGUGCGAAAGCGUGGGGAGC
rnacentral:rRNA from 1 species